UACGAAGGGGGCUAGCGUUGCUCGGAUUCAUUGGGCGUAAAGGGUGCGUAGGCGGCGCGGUAAGUCGGGUGUGAAAUCUCGGGGCUUAACUCCGAAACUGCAUUCGAUACUGCGGUGCUUGAGGACUGGAGAGGAGACUGGAAUUCAUGGUGUAGCAGUGAAAUGCGUAGAGAUCAUGAGGAAGACCAGUGGCGAAGGCGGGUCUCUGGACAGUUCCUGACACUGAGGCACGAAGGCCAGGGGAGCAAACGGG
rnacentral:rRNA from 1 species